rnacentral:rRNA from 1 species
AGCAGCCGCGGUAAUUCCAGCUCCAAUAGCGUAUAUUAAAGUUGUUGCAGUUAAAAAGCUCGUAGUUGAAUUUCGGGAUCAAUAUUUCGGUCAUGCCGUUGGUAUGCACUGUUAUCAUUGAUUUCUCACCUUCUAAAGAACCGUAAUGCCAUUAAUUUGGUGUUACGGGGAAUUAGGACCGUUACCUUGAAAAAAUUAGAGUGUUUAAAGCAGGCUCGCGCUUGAAUACAUUAGCAUGGAAUAAUGAAAUAGGACGUUUGACUCUAUUUUGUUGGUUUCUAGGAUCGACGUAAUGAUUAAUAGGGAUAGUUGGGGGCAUUAGUAUUCAAUUGUCAGAGGUGAAAUUCUUGGAUUUAUUGAAGACUAACUACUGCGAAAGCAUUUGCCAAGGAUGUUUUCAUUAAUCAAGAACGAAAGUUAGGGGAUCGAAGACGAUCAGAUACCGUCGUA